GGGCGGUUAGCUCAGUUGGUAGAGCAUCCCGUUUACACCGGGACGGUCGGGAGUUCAAGUCUCUCAUCGCCCACCA
rnacentral:tRNA from 1 species